AACGAACGCUGGCGGCGCGCUUAACACAUGCAAGUCGAACGAGAAGGCGUAGCAAUACGCUUGUACAGUGGCGAACGGGUGAGGAAUACAUGGGUAACCUACCCUCGAGUGGGGGAUAACCCGCCGAAAGGCGGGCUAAUACCGCGUACGCUUCCGAUCUUGCGGGAUUGGAAGGAAAGCUGUCCCUUGGGGAUGGCGCUCAAGGAUGGGCUCAUGUCCUAUCAGCUUGUUGGUAGGGUAACGGCCUACCAAGGCAUCGACGGGUAGCUGGUCUGAGAGGACGAUCAGCCACACUGGCACUGCGACACGGGCCAGACUCCUACGGGAGCAGCAGUGAGGAAUAUUGCGCAAUGGGCGAAAGCCUGACGCAGCGACGCCGCGUGGGGGAUGAAGGUCUUCGGAUUGUAAACCUCUUUC
rnacentral:rRNA from 1 species